rnacentral:rRNA from 1 species
UUUAAGUGUCCUAAUGCAGCUGAUUAUUUCAAAGAGUCUAUGUUCGUCUGAUCUCAGAAGCUAAGCAGGGUCGGGCCUGGUUAGUACUUGGAUGGGAGACUCAAAGAGUCUAUGUUGAUUAAAC